AAAGGAAUAGACGGGGACCCGCACAAGCGGUGGAUGAUGUGGAUUAAUUCGAUGCAACGCGAAAAACCUUACCUACCCUUGACAUGUCUGGAACUUGUGAGAGAUCACUUGGUGCCUUCGGGAGCCAGAACACAGGUGCUGCAUGGCUGUCGUCAGCUCGUGUCGUGAGAUGUUGGGUUAAGUCCCGCAACGAGCGCAACCCUCGCCACUAGUUGCCAGCAUUUAGUUGGGCACUUUAGUGGGACUGCCGGUGACAAACCGGAGGAAGGUGGGGAUGACGUCAAGUCCUCAUGGCCCUUAUGGGUAGGGCUUCACACGUCAUACAAUGGUCGGUACAGAGGGUUGCCAAGCCGCGAGGUGGAGCUAAUCUCAAAAAGCCGAUCGUAGUCCGGAUCGUAGUCUGCAACUCGACUACGUGAAGUCGGAAUCGCUAGUAAUCGUGGAUCAGCAUGCCACGGUGAAUACGUUCCCGGGUCUUGUACACACCGCCCGU
rnacentral:rRNA from 1 species